UAUUAUAUAAUAUAAUUUAAUAUAUUUUAUUUCCAAUAAAAAAAUUUAAGUAAAUUUAAUAUAAUAA
rnacentral:tRNA from 1 species